UACGUAGGUGGCAAGCGUUGUCCGGAUUUACUGGGCGUAAAGAGCGCGCAGGCGGUCGUUCAAGUCGCGUGUGAAAGCCCCCGGCUCAACUGGGGAGGGUCACGCGAUACUGAUCGACUCGAAGGCAGGAGAGGGUAGUGGAAUUCCCGGUGUAGUGGUGAAAUGCGUAGAUAUCGGGAGGAACACCGGUGGCGAAGGCGGCCCUCUGGACGAGUACUGACGCUGAGGCGCGAAAGCGUGGGGAUCAAACAGG
rnacentral:rRNA from 1 species